GGCUCAGGACGAACGCUGGCGGCGUGCCUAACACAUGCAAGUCGAGCGAGGAGAUCCUUCGGGAUGAUCCUAGCGGCGGACGGGUGAGUAACACGUGGGCAACCUGCCUCAUAGAGAGGAAUAGCCUUCCGAAAGGGAGAUUAAUACCUCAUAACAUUGCAGUUUCGCAUGGAACAGCAAUUAAAGGAGUAAUCCGCUAUGAGAUGGGCCCGCGGCGCAUUAGCUAGUUGGUGAGGUAACGGCCCACCAAGGCGACGAUGCGUAGCCGACCUGAGAGGGUGAUCGGCCACAUUGGGACUGAGACACGGCCCAGACUCCUACGGGAGGUAGCAGUGGGGAAUAUUGCACAAUGGGGGAAACCCUGAUGCAGCCAACGCCGCGUGAGUGAUGACGGCCUUCGGGUUGUAAAGCUCUGUCUUCAGGGACGAUAAUGACGGUACCUGAGGAGGAAGCCACGGCUAACUACGUGCCAGCAGCAGC
rnacentral:rRNA from 1 species